GAUGAACGCUGGCGGCGUGCCUAAUACAUGCAAGUCGAGCGAACGGACGAGAAGCUUGCUUUUCUGAUGUUAGCGGCGGACGGGUGAGUAACACGUGGAUAAUCUACCUAUAAGACUGGGAUAACUUCGGGAAACCGGAGCUAAUACCGGAUAAUAUUUUGAACCGCAUGGUUCAAAAGUGAAAGACGGUCUUGCUGUCACUUAUAGAUGGAUCCGCGCUGCAUUAGCUAGUUGGUAAGGUAACGGCUUACCAAGGCAACGAUGCAUAGCCGACCUGAGAGGGUGAUCGGCCACACUGGAACUGAGACACGGUCCAGACUCCUACGGGAGGCAGCAGUAGGGAAUCUUCCGCAAUGGGCGAAAGCCUGACGGAGCAACGCCGCGUGAGUGAUGAAGGUCUUCGGAUCGUAAAACUCUGUUAUUAGGGAAGAACAUAUGUGUAAGUAACUGUGCACAUCUUGACGGUACCUAAUCAGAAAGCCACGGCUAACUACGUG
rnacentral:rRNA from 1 species